rnacentral:rRNA from 1 species
GGAAAGGCCCAGCUUGCUGGGUGCUCGAGUGGCGAACGGGUGAGUAACACGUGGGUGAUCUGCCCCUGACUUUGGGAUAAGCCUGGGAAACUGGGUCUAAUACCGGAUAUGACCUUACGUUGCAUGACUUUUGGUGGAAAGCCUUGUGCGGUUGGGGAUGGGCCCGCGGCCUAUCAGCUUGUUGGUGGGGUAAUGGCCUACCAAGGCGACGACGGGUAGCCGACCUGAGAGGGUGAUCGGCCACACUGGGACUGAGACACGGCCCAGACUCCUACGGGAGGCAGCAGUGGGGAAUAUUGCACAAUGGGCGCAAGCCUGAUGCAGCGACGCCGCGUGAGGGAUGACGGCCUUCGGGUUGUAAACCUCUUUCACCAGGGACGAAGCUCAUGUGACGGUACCUGGAGAAGAAGCACCGGCCAACUACGUGCCAGCAGCCGCGGUAAUACGUAGGGUGCGAGCGUUGUCCGGAAUUACUGGGCGUAAAGAGCUCGUAGGCGGUUUGUCGCGUCGUCUGUGAAAUUCUGCAGCUUAACUGCAGGCGUGCAGGCGAUACGGGCAGACUUGAGUACUACAGGGGAGACUGGAAUUCCUGGUGUAGCGGUGAAAUGCGCAGAUAUCAGGAGGAACACCGGUGGCGAAAGCGGGUCUCUGGGUAGUAACUGACGCUGAGGAGCGAAAGCGUGGGUAGCGAAC